rnacentral:rRNA from 1 species
UGGGGAAUUUUGGACAAUGGGGGCAACCCUGAUCCAGCCAUGCCGCGUGUGCGAAGAAGGCCUUCGGGUUGUAAAGCACUUUUGGCAGGAAAGAAACGGCGCCGGCUAAUAUCUGGCGUAACUGACGGUACCUGCAGAAUAAGCACCGGCUAACUACGUGCCAGCAGCCGCGGUAAUACGUAGGGUGCAAGCGUUAUCCGGAAUUAUUGGGUUUAAAGGGUGCGUAGGCGGACUAAUAAGUCAGUGGUGAAAGCCUGCAGCUUAACUGCAGAAUUGCCAUUGAUACUGUUAGUCUUGAGUACAGUUGAGGUAGGCGGAAUGUGUCAUGUAGCGGUGAAAUGCUUAGAUAUGACACAGAACACCGAUUGCGAAGGCAGCUUGCUAAGCUGUAACUGACGCUGAGGCACGAAAGCGUGGGGAGCAAACA